GACAAGGUUCCAGGCCCUACGGGGUGCAGCAGGCGCGAAACCUCCGCAAUGUGAGAAAUCGCGACGGGGGGAUCCCAAGUGCCAUUCUUAACGGGAUGGCUUUUCAUUAGUGUAAAGAGCUUUUGGAAUAAGGGCUGGGCAAGACCGGUGCCAGCCGCCGCGGUAACACCGGCAGCUCUAGUGGUAGCAGUUUUUAUUGGGCCUAAAGCGUCCGUAGCCGGUUUAAUAAGUCUCUGGUGAAAUCCUGUAGCUUAACUGUGGGAAUUGCUGGAGAUACUAUUAGACUUGAGACCGGGAGAGGUUAGAGGUACUCCCAGGGUAGAGGUGAAAUUCUGUAAUCCUGGGAGGACCGCCUGUUGCGAAGGCGUCUAACUGGAACGGUUCUGACGGUGAGGGACGAAAGUUAGGGGCGCGAACCGGAUUAGAUACCCGGGUAGUCCUAACUGUAAACGAUGCGGACUUGGUGUUGGGGUGGCUUUGAGCUGCUUCAGUGCCGAAGGGAAGCUGUUAAGUCCGCCGCCUGGGAAGUACGGUCGCAAGACUGAAACUUAA
rnacentral:rRNA from 1 species